GCACUAGUUCUCUAGUGCAUAUACUAAAAUUGGAACGAUACAGAGAAGAUUAGCAUGGCCCCUGUGCAAGGAUGACACGCACAUUCGUGAAGCGUUCCUCAUUAAA
rnacentral:snRNA from 1 species